AAAAACCUAAAAAAAAAAAACACGAAAAGACAAAAAUUCUUGAAACAAAGACUGAGCAACGUGGGCCCAACAAUAAACAGGUGGUGAUCUCAGGUGUUCUGGAAUGAUAAGCAAGUCCUGUUGUGAAUGUUGUACCCGUUAUGUAGCUCAUGUAAACAUACGUUCGUUGAUUAGUCGCAUCCGAGGAUGUUAAAUGUUGAGGAUAACAUGAUGCAUGAUGUUUCGUCCUGUGACUGUUGGUUUUUUCGACUUAGAAUUCUGAAUGCCUCGUGAAUUCGCGGCGCCUGCAUAUCAUAUACGGGUUCUUCCGAUUAGUAAGCAAUGUUAUAUUUAACGUGAACCUUCCCUUUUCACGGAUGUGACCUACCGAAUUAGACUAUUUACUGGAUGUGUAAUAACAUAAGCAACACGACUGGUGUCACAUGUGGAUCAGGAUCUGCUUACCCUUCCAAAGCACCUGAGAUCACCCCUAAUUUUUGGUGGGGUUAGAGUUGCUUAGUACUUAGUUUUCUAUGUUGUGUCUUCUG
rnacentral:lncRNA from 1 species